AGGAUCAUUAUAAAUAUAUGGGAUGCUCAAUAUGAGUUCUCAACAAAACACUUUCAUGUGUAUCCUUCCAUGUUGCUUCCUCAGGCCAGUAGCCAUUGCUACCAGCCAGGCCGAUCUUCGGUCACUAGGUUGAGGUGCUUGGGGAAGGGUCAAUCAUGAAACUUUACAUUGACUUAUUGUCUGACAAGGCCAUGUGCCAUUAUAUUUAAAUAUUUUAAAACUUUCAACAACGGAUCUCUUGGCUCUCGCAUCGAUGAAGAACGCAGCGAAAUGCGAUAAGUAAUGUGAAUUGCAGAAUUCAGUGAAUCAUCGAAUCUUUGAACGCAUAUUGCGCCCUUUGGUAUUCCUUAGGGCAUGCCUGUUCGAGCGUCACUAACAACCAAUCACCUUAUAUGUGGUAUUGGCAGAUGUGGGUUGAGUACAAAGCUUAGCAGUGAUACUCUCCCACACUGUUGGAAUGAAUAGGCUAGAAAAGUAGAUCAUAGCAACAGACUUUCAGAGUAUUUUGAAAUGCUAAAUUAGUUUGAAGCUGGUCAGAAUCUAGGCCAUUUGACCCCCAUUCUGUGUAGAGCAGUAAGGUUGACCUCGGAUCAGGUAGGGAUACCCGCUGAACUUAAGCAUAUCAAUAAGCGGAGGAAAAGAAACCAACAGGGAUUGCCUUAGUAACGGCGAGUGAAGCGGCAAAAGCUCAAAUUUGAAAUCUAACGCCUCUGGUGUUCGAGUUGUAAUUUGGAGAGGCAUCUUCCGGAGGGGCCCAGCCUAUGUGCCUUGGAACAGGACGUCAUAGAGGGUGAGAAUCCCGUUCUUGGCUGGAUGUUCCCUCCUUUAUGUAGUGUCUUCUACGAGUCGAGUUGUUUGGGAAUGCAGCUCAAAAUGGGUGGUAAAUUUCAUCUAAAGCUAAAUACUGGCGAGAGACCGAUAGCGCACAAGUAGAGUGAUCGAAAGAUGAAAAGCACUUUGAAAAUAGAGUCAAAAAGUACGUGAAAUUGUUGAAAGGGAAGCGCUUGAGACCAGAGUCAGCCUUUGGCAAACAAUUGUCCUUUGGGGCGGUGCACUUGUCAUUGGUUGGGCCAGCAUCGAUUGNNNNCGGUGGGAUAAAGGCUUGGGAAAUGUGACUCCAUUACGNNNUGUUAUAGUCCCAGGUGUCAUGCCAUCAGUCCCGAUCGUGGACCGCGCU
rnacentral:rRNA from 1 species